GCAACACGGCUGUUUACAUCUCACAAAUGCAAGGGUGGAGUCAGAAGGAGGUUAUUUCAUGCAACAGCCUUCCUUUGCUUCAUAGCCAAAACACAAGAGCCUGAAGCCUGCAGGAAGGAGGAUGGUCAGGGGAUCACUGGGGAGCACAGCCCACUGAGAGUGCUGCAGGAAAGGGGUCUGGAAACAAAGCAUGCAAACACACAGAGCAAGUCACUCAUUCAUCAGGUCAAAGACGCAAGGAAAAUACGAGACUCGGAGAAGUGCUCACCUGUACUCGUGGGACGAAUAUUACCCAACGGCACAAGCAUGGCCACCCUGCAUCCCGAAAGGCAGCUCCAUUCCCGCCACUGUGCUCAGUGCCUAAGUAAAUAAGAAAAAUGGAAAGGCACAAUGGAUGUGAAUUCCAAUCCUCAAAUGAUCUUCUGAAGCAAAGGAUAAUGUCUGAGGUCAAACUGUAGCAAAAGCCUGGGUGUUCCUGAUCUAAUCUUGAACCAGGGUGUCUACCCAAACCUUUGGAGGAAUCCUAGGACAUGUUUGUCAAAACAUAGUUGAAUUCCAUAUGGAGGAUUGCUUGGGCUUAGCGGCCAUCCUCAAGCACAGAAAGAAUCCCAGAAGAAAUGCUGCCUUCCCAGGGCUGGGCUUACAUCCAGACCCAGAAAUCUAACAGCAGAAUAAAGACUCACUGACUGUGGAAACAGACUUGGCCUGUUGGAUGGAAGGUGGAAAUAAAAUCUAACUAAUCUUUCA